UUCUAUAGACAUGCUAUCCUGAAUGUGCCUGAUCCUGUCUGAUCUCGGAAGCUAAGCAGGAUAGGCCCUGGUUAGUACUUGAAUGGGAGACCACUUAGGAAUACCAGGUGCUAUAGGCA
rnacentral:rRNA from 1 species